ACUUUUUUAGUAUAAAUAAUAUAUUUGACUUCCAAUCAAAAGAUCUUAAUUCAAGAAAAAGUA
rnacentral:tRNA from 1 species